GACGAACGCUGGCGGCGUGCUUAACACAUGCAAGUCGAGCGGUAAGGCCCUUUCGGGGGUACACGAGCGGCGAACGGGUGAGUAACACGUGGGUGACCUGCCCUCAGCUCUGGGAUAAGCCUGGGAAACCGGGUCUAAUACCGGAUAUGACCCCAUGACGCAUGUCGUGGGGUGGAAAGCCUUGUGCGGCUGAGGAUGGGCCCGCGGCCUAUCAGCUUGUUGGUGGGGUGAUGGCCACCAAGGCGACGACGGGUAGCCGGCCUGAGAGGGCGACCGGCCACACUGGGACUGAGACACGGCCCAGACUCCUACGGGAGGCAGCAGUGGGGAAUCUUGCGCAAUGGGCGAAAGCCUGACGCAGCGACGCCGCGUGAGGGAUGACGGCCUC
rnacentral:rRNA from 1 species